rnacentral:sRNA from 1 species
UUUGCCUGCCAUCUCUUACCCAUGUCUUUUGAGUACCUUACGUUUCCUCGGCGGGUCCGCCCGCCGACUGGACAAUUUAAACCACUUGCAGUUGCAAUCAGCGUCUGAAAAAACUUAAUAGUUACAACUUUCAACAACGGAUCUCUUGGUUCUGGCAUCGAUGAAGAACGCAGCGAAAUGCGAUAAGUAGUGUGAAUUGCAGAAUUCAGUGAAUCAUCGAAUCUUUGAACGCACAUUGCGCCCCUUGGUAUUCCAUGGGGCAUGCCUGUUCGAGCGUCAUUUGUACCUUCAAGCCUUGCUUGGUGUUGGGUGUUUGUCUCGCCUCUGCGCGUAGACUCGCCUCAAAACAAUUGGCAGCCGGCGUAUUGAUUUCGGAGCGCAGUACAUCUCGCGCUUUGCACUCAGAACGACGACGUCCAAAAGUACAUUUUUACACUCUUGACCUCGGAUCAGGUAGGGAUACCCGCUGAACUUAAGCAUAUCAAUAAGCGGAGGAA